AUGGGAGUGAGUUCAUAAAGCCCAGGGCGCCUGUCAAACCUCUGUAUGCAAACACACUAGGUAGAAAGGCAGAGAAACAUAUGGAGAGACUUUGAUACGACAGUAAAGCAGGUUCAUGGUUCAGCUUUGUUUGUGUUGUGCUCUGAAAUGAUGUGGCAUGUGCACUUUGAGACUGUGACAGGACACAACAGUCAACAGCGCGCGUGUGUAUAUGGAAAACAUCUCAAAUAGACACCUUUUGCUUUAAGUUUAUCCGGCGCUGUGUCUUGUGAUGGAGCCCAGAGGGCAAGGCUGGCAUACGCCAGGCUAUCAGUACCAGUCUAGUAACAGAGAUGACAACUACAGAUCCUCCCACCAAACACCAUAUUACCACCCACCUACAGACCCGAGAGGGAGAGAAAGACAGUGGCCUCAUGUGGAUCCUCGCUAUGGAAGCUACAUGGCCAGUCCUCCUCCUAAACCAGAGUAUAUUCCUGGAUAUAGUAGUGCUUAUGCAUCUAACCAACCAUUACACUUCAGACCUCAUUCCAGGCAGGAAUAUGACUACCCCGCAUCCAACUACUGGCCCUACAGAGAAGACUACGGGUCCUACAGAGAAGACUACGGGUAUUAUGAUUAUCAUGGUUAUCACAGAUCACAAUACAGCUCCCCAGAUGGUGGUGGCUGGAGAACAGAGGGGUAUCAGGGCAGAGGACUGCAGCAGGAGUCAGCAAGAGCUUCGUACUUCGAUCAGCAGGGCUAUAGCCAUAGAACAGACAGUCAAUAUGACCAUGGAGUCUCAGAGAGACAGCACAGAGAAAGUGUGGAAAAUGGAGAUGGAACUGGAGAGGUUUGUUUCCAGAAAUUAUAUAAACUUGCCAUUCUUGUUCAUAAAAGU
ensembl:lncRNA